UCGUAAUUUCACCAAUUUCUGAAACCGAGAAGCCGAAAGGAAUUGAGAUCUACAUCGAGGAACCAAUGGCGAAGAUUGAGGAGCAACAAUCCACAUUGCAGCAUCAAACGAAAAAAAAAGUAGCCGCCAAAAGAAGGCACGGAUCCACUUCGUUUUUCGUCUUCGUAGACUACCUUUUCCUGGCCAUCUUCUUCCUCUUCCUCAGCUACAUCCUGUCUAAAAUGGUCGGAUUCUGAUUCAACAAGGAUGAUUAAUCGUGUGGGGCAUUUUACCCCGUCUCUAGUUGUGAAGAGCGAUUCGUAGAAUGUUAAGAGUGAUAUGCUCGAAGGGAGUAGUUCCACUGUUGGUGGUCUUGCUGCGUUUUGUUUUGUCGUAGUAUGAAUCCAUCACCUCAUUACAGUGCUAUGAGUUUCUCGUUUUUGUUGCUUUGCAAGAAUUCGGGUGUGUUGCUGAUAUAGCUGUUUGUUAUCUUCAGUACUGUUGUUCUGAUGGAUAAUAUGAUACUGGUUUUGUGUUCAUCAUCAGCCAUUUUUGCUAAUUGGAAGAGUUUAACCUUUUCAUUA